rnacentral:rRNA from 1 species
GUAAGGAAUAUUGGUCAAUGGGCGAAAGCCUGAACCAGCCAUCCAGCGUGCAGGAAGAAGGCCCUAUGGGUUGUAAACUGCUUUUAUCAGGGAAGAAACCUCUGGAUUUACUCCGGAGCUGACGGUACCUGAAGAAUAAGCACCGGCUAACUCCGUGCCAGCAGCCGCGGUAAUACGGAGGGUGCGAGCGUUAUCCGGAAUUACUGGGUUUAAAGGGUGCGUAGGCGGCUUUGUAAGUCAGGAGUGAAAGUUUGCGGCUCAACCGUAAAAUUGCUUUUGAUACUGCAGAGCUAGAAUCAGGAUGAGGUUAGCGGAAUGUGGCAUGUAGCGGUGAAAUGCAUAGAUAUGCCAUAGAACACCAAUUGCGAAGGCAGCUGGCUAGACCUGCAUUGACGCUGAGGCACGAAAGCGUGGGGAGCGAACAGGAUUAGAAACCCCAGUAGUCC